CGCACACUAGUCUUCGCCUCGGCAUAUUCUAUUGACUGGAAAGCCGUGGGAAGCGGCUACCAGUAACCAAUAGUAACGCACAAUUGGCCCGUGAGGGCGGGGCGAGCACGGCUUGCUUUCUCAGGAGCCAAUAGGGAAAACGAAAGUGAAGCGUUUCCUGAGUUCGGGGGUCGGUGGAAGAUGGCGGCCGGCGAAAGGAGCUGGUGCCUGUGCAAGUUGUUGAGGUUUUUUUAUUCAUUAUUCUUCCCUGGGCUCAUUGUAUGUGGAACUUUAUGUGUGUGUUUGGUCAUUGUCCUUUGGGGAAUCAGACUGCUGCUACAGAGAAAGAAAAAAUUAGUGUCAACUAGCAAAAAUGGGAAAAAUCAAAUGGUGAUUGCAUUUUUUCAUCCAUACUGCAAUGCUGGUGGAGGAGGAGAAAGAGUUUUAUGGUGUGCUUUAAGAGCCCUGCAGAAAAAAGUUUCACUCUUGUUGCCCAGGCAGGAGUGUAGUGGUGCAAUCUCGGCUCUCAGUCUCUCAGGGUAUCCUGAAGCAGUUUAUGUUGUUUAUACCGGCGAUGUUAAUGUCAACGGUCAACAGAUACUAGAAGGUGCUUUCAGAAGAUUUAACAUCAGAUUAAUUCACCCAGUGCAGUUUGUUUUUUUAAGGAAACGCUAUCUUGUGGAAGAUUCACUGUAUCCUCACUUCACACUGCUGGGCCAAAGUCUAGGAUCCAUUUUUCUUGGCUGGGAAGCUCUAAUGCAGUGUGUUCCUGAUGUUUACAUUGAUUCAAUGGGAUACGCUUUUACACUUCCUCUGUUUAAGUAUAUAGGGGGUUGCCAAGUUGGAAGCUAUGUUCAUUAUCCUACUAUCAGCACCGACAUGCUCUCUGUAGUGAAGAAUCAAAAUAUUGGAUUUAAUAAUGCAGCCUUCAUUACCAGGAAUCCUUUUCUCAGCAAAGUAAAGCUCAUCUACUACUAUUUAUUUGCUUUUAUUUAUGGACUUGUUGGUUCUUGCAGUGAUGUAGUCAUGGUCAAUUCUUCUUGGACACUAAAUCAUAUUCUCUCACUAUGGAAAGUUGGGAAUUGCACUAACAUUGUUUAUCCACCUUGCGAUGUGCAGACAUUUCUGGACAUUCCCUUACAUGAGAAAAAGAUGACCCCAGGACAUUUGCUGGUUUCUGUUGGCCAGUUUAGGCCGGAAAAGAAUCAUCCAUUGCAGAUCAGAGCCUUUGCUAAAUUGCUGAAUAAGAAGAUGGUUGAGUCACCUCCUUCGCUUAAACUUGUCCUCAUUGGAGGUUGUCGUAACAAAGAUGAUGAACUUAGGGUAAACCAACUGAGAAGGCUGUCUGAGGAUUUAGGAAUUCAAGAAUAUGUGGAAUUUAAAAUAAACAUUCCAUUUGAUGAAUUAAAGAAUUAUUUGUCUGAAGCAACAAUUGGUCUGCAUACCAUGUGGAACGAGCAUUUUGGGAUUGGUGAAACUGAGAUUCAGUGUUGGAAUAACUUGUGAAAGAAAGGUCACAUAACCAGAAGGUGGCAGCAACAACUGAGAUUCAAACUCCCAUCUGUCUCUGAAGCCUACACCACACUACUGAGAGAUGACAGAGCCCUAAACUAGUAACAGAGGGAAUGAAGGAAGAGGAAGACUCCAGAGACAUCUCAGAAUAGACACUAUGCUGAGGGUGCACCCUGGUGACAGCACUGACUGUGAAGUUCUCAUAAGAUAAGUAAACAACAACAAGGGAGGGGUCCCAGGUUGGGGGUGGGGAUGGGGGAACAACUGUUCUGAGAGAUGACUCAUCACAGACAAGCUGCUGGCACAUCCUGUUCCCAAAUACCUCAUUCCUUCCACAUGUAGCCCAAGCAGCAAAACCUUAUCUGCACACCUUAUCAGCAUGUAGCUCCUCCAAUAUGACCCUAUAAAACUUCCCUCUAGCCCCUGCCUCUUAGCAGACAGCCCCUUCUCUGCUGUGCUGCCCAUUGCACUCUUGCAACGUAUCUUUGUACUUUAAUAAAUCUGCCUUUCUUUACUUACAGUUGUGUUGAUAAAUUCUUUUACUGCCCACAACACUGGCCCCGCCAGUUGCAUCUGUGACACUGACCAAAAUAAAGGGUCACUGGGAAGGAAGAGCACAGAAGAGCUUGACUUUACACAGCUGAGUUUCAGAUACUGGCAACACUUGUCCAUGGAGCUUCCCAGAAGAUAAUGAGAAAGACUGAGAUGGAGGACUCAAGUCCUAAUCUGUGGCAGUACAUUGGAGUAGUGAGCAAGAGACUGCACACCAGCCUAGAGUUCCUGCCUCAAGAUCCCAGACUCCAUGGCUACACGGUUAAUCAGUCUUCACAGGGCCAAGAGGGCCUUUCAGAUGACAUGACCCUGGAGAGCUUGACAGCACACUAAGGCUGAAUGUCCCACCCACUGGAGUAGAUUAGGGUUGGAAUCUGAGAUCAUUGUAUUUUAAGGAAAGUAAAGUAAUGGGGCACUUAUUGUACAAUUGAGACGACCAGACUAUCCAAGCAAAUCAGACAACCAACUUCACAAAUAUAAGUAAGAUACAUAAGUCAUAGUCCUGAUUUCAGACUUCAUACUAUUGCAAGGCAGAAAAACACCCUUCCCAAGUUUGCAGGACAAAUAGCUAAUAAUGCUUCAAACUGACACAGGCUGGUGUAUGAAGUACUUGGAAAUGCUGUGGAAAUACAGAUGAGGCAGUUAUUAAUUCUAAGGGAGAAAGAGAAAAAAGCUGUGCUAGAAACUUCACCAGGAGGUCUGAUAUGAUGUGUUCUGCAAGAAGAGAAGAGAGGGAAAGGAUAUUUCAGUAGAGAAAUGAGCAUUUUACAAAGGCCUAGAGGUUAAAAGGAAGAUGUCUUUUUAAAUAAGUAGGGCUUUAAAAAGUAAUUCGAGACGUUUAGAGCUUUGGGUAUGUUUGGGGGAAAUGUGAGCAAUGAGGCUGGAACAUUCUGUUAGGAACAACUCACAAAAGUCUAGCAUGCCAUGCUAAGGAAAAUGGCAGUCACCAUUGAUUGUCGUGUAGAGAAACAAUGUGUUCAAAUCAGUAUUUUGGAAAGAUAACUCUACAAGUAGAGACUUUUUAAAAGUGUCUUAUUAUAUAGCUGCAUAUUCCCUUCAAAAAAGAUAAUUAAAACCUAAAUCCAAAAAUUAGACAAAUUAAGUGAUAAUUAUUUCCUUUACAAAAGUUUGCAAAGGGAUCUGCUGCUGGAUUGCUCUGGAGGACAGCCUUCAGGAAAUAUCAGACGCCUUUUCAUUUUUUUUAGAGAUGGGGUCUCGCUAUAUUACCCAGGCUGGUCUCAAACUCCUGAGCUCAAGGGAUCCUCAGCCUCCUAAAUAGCUGGAACUAUAGUCUCGUGCCACCAUUUCUGUCUUUCAGAUGGCUUUUUUGUUUGAAGAUAUUGAUUAGAGUGCUGACAGAACUAAGGAACGGACACUUUAUUAUACAUAUUUGUAGUAAAAGUUCUGUAACCUUCUUAUAAAAAAUCUAAAAAGUAGAGAGACAAUAAUCAUCCCUACUCACACCAAUCCAGAUACCACCGAUUACCACCAUUGGCAUUUUGGUGUGUUUUCUUUCAAAGUUACUCUUCUUGCAUAAAAUAUACAAAAUUUUACUCACCAAAUUCCUGAUAUAAACUUUUUGAGGCAAGGUACCAUCAUUUGUUUGUGUUCUUCCAGUGGUUUAUUUUUAAUUACCUGACUUUUUAAAAACUUUAAGGCACUGGAUUUACUCUAACCAGGUUAAAAAAAUGUGAGAGAAAAACAUGUCUGUAACAUCUGAGCCGUGUUUUCACGGAACGUGACUGUGAUCCUACUGGCACCUUUGAAUGACAAGUUUAUAAUACCUUGAGAAUUUUCUAUUUCUAGUUGACUCUGGACCAAGCUCUAAUAAUAAAUAUAACUUAAAACACAGAGAAUUACUCUAAUUAUAAAGAUUAUAAUAAUUCGGCCAGGCAGAGUGGCUCACGCCUGUAAUCCCAGCACUUUGGGAGGCUGAGGCGGGUGGAUCACCCGAGGUCAGGAGUUCAAGACCAGCCUGGCCAACAUGGUGAGACCCUGUCUCUACUAAAACACAAAAAUUAGCUGGGCGUGGUGGCAGGCGCCUGUAAUUCCAGCUACUUGGGAGGCUGAAGCAGGAGAAUCGCUUGAACCUGGGAGGCGGAGGUUGCAGUGAGCCAAGAUGGUGCCAUUGCACUCCAGCUUGGGCAACAAGAGCAAAACUCCGUCUAAAAAAAAAAAGAUAAUAAUAAUUCUCAGUAUGGGCCAAAUCAUUGAGAAUCUUCUUACUAAGCAAAAAUAAAAGCACACUUGGGCUUCUUAUUCGCAAAAUAAAUAAAACUCCUUGGAAAGUAAAACAUUUUAUGAUUUAUGUAAUCAUUUUAUGUAAUCAUAAAAGCAUUGUUUAUCAGGUCAUUUCACAGGUUGAAUAAUUCUCAGAAUUGGUUGAAAUCAACAGAUUCAUCUUGUAUUAUAAUUGUAUAAUCUUUCCUCAGAAGGGAAAAAAACUCUCUUGAGAUUUAUUUGUUAUUUCAACUCUGCCCAGCCUCUUACCUCCACCAAAAACAUAAUGUUGAAAUGGAAGAGAACUUGACUGUCAGAUUUCCUGACCAAUGUGUCUGAGACACUGACUUAGACCCUCCAGAGAGUGGAACGUUCUUAUGCUAAAUAGCAGCAGUUCUCAAACUUGGCUGCAUACUAAAUCACCCAGCAAGCUUCUGCAGACAGAAUGCCUGGGCCUCAUCCCAGACCAUGUGGGGCAGAGAGAGGCAUCUGAGUUUUUAAAAGCUCUGGUAAAAAGGCGGUGGCUCAUGCCUGUAAUCCCAGCACUUUAGGAAGCCGAGGCUGGUGGAUCACGAAGUCAAGAGAUAAAGACCAUCCUGGCCAACAUGGUGAAACUCUGUCUCUACUAAAAAUACAAAAAUUAGCUGGGCAUGGUGGCACAUGCCUGUAGUCCCAGCUACUUGGGAGCCUGAAGCAGGAAAUCACUUGAACCCAGGAGGCAGAGGUUACAGUGAGCCAAGAUCGCACGACUGCACUCCAACCUGGCAACAGAGAGAGACUCCGUCUCAUUAAAAAAAAAAAAAAAGUUCCCUAUGUGGUUCUGCUGCACAGAGAAGGGUAAGAGCCACUCGGGACAGAGCACACACACCACAAGCACACACAUGUCUGAUCAUAGCCAUCAUUACCUGCACAGGUGCUUCUCCCUCAGAUGCAUCUUGAUGGACAGGCAGGUUACUCUUCUUCACCAAAUAGGUUUUAUGACUUAUUUUUGAGUUCUCCUUUAACACAAAUUAUACACAGUCAACAAGAUUGGUUCUGAGUGAGCUCUGAAGGCUAUUUGGCUGAUGCGUGAUCAAUGAUGAAAUGGCUGGACAGAACCAUUUUUAUAGCUCCUUUUCCCCGCCGCAGCCUCAGUAUUUCCCAAAUCCUUCUUCCAUAGUCUCUGUAGAAAUGUCUGCUAUCCACCUUUUUUUUCUUUUUUUUUUUUGAGACGGAGUCUCGCUCUGUCACCCAGGCUGGAGUGCAGUGGCGCGAUCUUGGCUCACUGCAAGCUCCGCCUCCUGAGUUCAUGCCAUUCUCCUGCCUCAGCCUCCCAAGUAGCUGGGACUAUAGGCACGCACCACCACGCCUGGCUAAUUUUUUGUCCUUUUAGUAGAGAUGGGGUUUCACUGUGUUAGCCAGGAUGAUCUCGAUCUCCCGACCUCGUGAUCCGCCCACCUCAGCCUCCCAAAGUGCUGGGAUUACAGGCGUGAGCUACUGCGCCUGGCCAAUGUCUGCCAUCCAUUUUUGCAGGGCUCAGGCUGCCCAUCCCAGAUCAGCCUUAGACAUAAGGCUGAUGAUGGCUCCAGGCUGCCCACCAUGAGCCAGGCCUCUGCUCCAGAGAGAACAACCUCCAGGCUGCCCCUCCCAGCACACACAGUCCUCUGUCCAAACCUCUGCAUGGCUCUUUCAGAAUGCCCACUCUGCUCUGUUAACUCUGUCUCUCCAAAUUCCACUCUUUAGGCCCCACCCACUUCUUCCAUGAAAACCCGCUUCCUGCUCAUUCUGCUCAUCUUGGCUCCUGUGCACCUACAGGGCUUACUCUAUGAUUGUUUUAUACGUGUGUCUCAUCAUUCCAACCACUUACAAGUAGAAUUGCAUAUGCCAGAAAGAAUAGUGGUUACAAUUGUAUUUUUUUAUUUUUUGAGACAGGGCCUCCCUCUGUUGCCCAGACUGGAGUGCAGUGGAACAAUCACAGUUCACAGCAGCUUCAACCUUAGCCUCCCACCUCAGCCUCCUGAGUAGCUGGGACUACAAGCGUUUGCCACCAUGACCCACUAAUUUUUUUAAUUUUUUGUACAGAUGGAGUCUCAUUAUGUUGCCCAGGCUGGUCUCAAACUCCUGGGGUCAAGCGAUCCUUCUGCCUUGGCCUCCCAAAGUGCUAGGAUUACAGGCAUGAACACGAGUAGGGGUUUUAGAGUCAGAUUUUCAUUUUAUUUUACUUUAUUUUUUUAAGACAGAGUCUUGCUCUGUAUCCCAGGCUGGGGUACAGUGGCACAGUCAUGGCUCACUGCAGCCUUUAGCUCCUAGCUCAAGCAAUCCUCCUGCUUUAGCCUCCUAAGUAGCUAGGACUACAAGUGCAAACCACCAUGCCUAGCUAAUUUAAAAUCUUUUUGUAUAUAUGUGUGUGUGUGUGUGUGUGUGUGUAUAUAUAUAUAUAUGUUUAGAGCUAGGGUUUCCCUAUGUUGCCCAGGCUGGUCUCAAACUCCUGGGCUCAAGCGAUCCUCCCACCUCAGCCUUUCAAAUUGCUGGGAUUACAGGCAUGAGCUACCGUGCCCAGCCUAGAGUCAGAUAUUUAAAUAUUUCGUCUGCCUUGUAAUAGCUACGUGACUUUGGAUGAGCUACUUAACUUCUCUGUACAGGGGUAAAUAAAAGAAAGUAUGAAUGUGA